UCCGUGCGAGCUCCACGCAGGACCAUGGGAAUCCCCCACAGAUCUGUGCAAACCCCACACGGGUCCAUGCAAAACCCCACAUGGGUCCGUGCAAAUCCACAUGGGUCUGUGCAAAUCCCACAUGGGUCCAUGUGACCCCACACGGGUCCGUGCAAAACCCCUGUGUGUCCAUGCAAACCCCACAUGGGUCCGUGCAAACCCCACACGGGUCCGUGCAAAACCCCUGCGUGUCCGUGUGAACCCACACGGGUCCGUGCAAAUCCCACACGGGUCUGUGCAAAACCCCUGCAUGUCCAUGUGACCCCACACAGGUCCGUGCAAACCCCACACGGGUCCAUGCAAAACCCCUGCGUGUCCGUGUGACCCCACACAGGUCCAUGUGAACCCCACAUGGGUCCAUGUGAACCCACACGGGUCCGUGCAAAGCCCCUGCAUGUCUGUGCAAACCCCACACGUGUCCGUGCAAACAGCCACGAGUCCGUGCGAGCUCCACGCAGGACCAUGGGAAUCCCCCACGGAUCUGUGCAAACCCCACGUGGGUCUGUGCGACCCCCCCCCCCGUGUGUCCGUGGAAAUGCUCACAUGUCCGUGGGAACACUCAUGUGUCCGUGUGAACACUCACGUGUCCGUGGGAACGCUCACGUGUCCGUGCGAACCCCACGCGGGUUGGUGCCAAACCCGUGCGUGUCCGUGCAAACGCCUCAGCACCUGCGUGGAGAGAGCGGCACACGCAAGCGCCACGCGGAGGGGCACGUACAAGGGACGGGGACACAGAUUGCGCAUGCCAAGGGAUGGGGACACGGGUCACACACACCAAGGGACGGGGACACAGCUCGCACAUGCCAAGGGACGGGGACACGGGUCACACACACCAAGGGACGGGGACACAGCUCGCACAUGCCAAGGGACGGGGACACGGGUCGCACACACCAAGGGAUGGGGACAUGGGUUGCACACGCCAAGGGAUGGGGACACGGGUUGCACAUGCCAAGGACGGGGACACGGGUUGCACAUGCCAAGGGAUGGGGACAAGGGUCGCACACGCCAAGGACAGGGACACGGCUCACACAUGCCAAGGAUGGGGACACGGCUCACACAUGCCAAGGGACACGGACAUGUCUCGCACACGCCAAGGGAUGGGGACACGUGUUGCACAUGCCAAGGGACAGGGACACGGCUCGCACAUGCCAAGGGACACGGACAUGUCUCGCACAUGCCAAGGGAUGGGGACACGUAUUGCACACACCAAGGGACAGGGACACGGCUCGCACACGCCAAGGGAUGGGAACACGUCUUGCACACGCGUGCCGUCUCCGCGCGACCCUUUUCCCUGCCGGCACCUGCCGGGCGGCCCGGCGUCGGGGCGCGUGUGGGGCUGAGCCCCCCGGGGUCCACCCCACACGCGUGUGUGUGUGGGGGGGGGGUCACGCACACGCGUGUUGCUCACGUGUGCACGCACACGCCGGCGCGGCGCCGUCUCCCGGCGCUGCCCGGAGCCGAACAAAGAGCCCCGCUGCCAUCUGCCGCUGCCCCCCCGCCGCUGUGGUGCGCACAAAGGCGUCGCCGUGGGGCCGCCGUGGGGCCGCCGUGGGGCUGGGAGCCCCCCCCCGCCUCCCCCGGCGCANNNNNNNNNNNNNNNNNNNNNNNNNNNNNNNNNNNNNNNNNNNNN
ensembl:lncRNA